rnacentral:tRNA from 1 species
GGUUAUGUGCCCGAAAGAUAAGGAUUACUUUGAUAGAGUAAAUAAUAGGAGUUCAAACCUCCUCAUACCCU